rnacentral:rRNA from 1 species
ACUUAAAUUGAAGAGUUUGAUCAUGGCUCAGAUUGAACGCUGGCGGCAGGCCUAACACAUGCAAGUCGAACGGUAGUACAGAGAGCUUGCUCUCGGGUGACGAGUGGCGGACGGGUGAGUAAUGUCUGGGAAACUGCCUGAUGGAGGGGGAUAACUACUGGAAACGGUAGCUAAUACCGCAUAACGUCGCAAGACCAAAGAGGGGGACCUUCGGGCCUCUUGCCAUCAGAUGUGCCCAGAUGGGAUUAGCUAGUAGGUGGGGUAAUGGCUCACCUAGGCGACGAUCCCUAGCUGGUCUGAGAGGAUGACCAGCCACACUGGAACUGAGACACGGUCCAGACUCCUACGGGAGGCAGCAGUGGGGAAUAUUGCACAAUGGGCGCAAGCCUGAUGCAGCCAUGCCGCGUGUAUGAAGAAGGCCUUCGGGUUGUAAAGUACUUUCAGCGAGGAGGAAGGCAUUAAGGUUAAUAACCUUGGUGAUUGACGUUACUCGCAGAAGAAGCACCGGCUAACUCCGUGCCAGCAGCCGCGGUAAUACGGAGGGUGCAAGCGUUAAUCGGAAUUACUGGGCGUAAAGCGCACGCAGGCGGUCUGUCAAGUCGGAUGUGAAAUCCCCGGGCUCAACCUGGGAACUGCAUUCGAAACUGGCAGGCUAGAGUCUUGUAGAGGGGGGUAGAAUUCCAGGUGUAGCGGUGAAAUGCGUAGAGAUCUGGAGGAAUACCGGUGGCGAAGGCGGCCCCCUGGACAAAGACUGACGCUCAGGUGCGAAAGCGUGGGGAGCAAACAGGAUUAGAUACCCUGGUAGUCCACGCCGUAAACGAUGUCGACUUGGAGGUUGUUCCCUUGAGGAGUGGCUUCCGGAGCUAACGCGUUAAGUCGACCGCCUGGGGAGUACGGCCGCAAGGUUAAAACUCAAAUGAAUUGACGGGGGCCCGCACAAGCGGUGGAGCAUGUGGUUUAAUUCGAUGCAACGCGAAGAACCUUACCUACUCUUGACAUCCAGAGAACUUAGCAGAGAUGCUUUGGUGCCUUCGGGAACUCUGAGACAGGUGCUGCAUGGCUGUCGUCAGCUCGUGUUGUGAAAUGUUGGGUUAAGUCCCGCAACGAGCGCAACCCUUAUCCUUUGUUGCCAGCGGUCCGGCCGGGAACUCAAAGGAGACUGCCAGUGAUAAACUGGAGGAAGGUGGGGAUGACGUCAAGUCAUCAUGGCCCUUACGAGUAGGGCUACACACGUGCUACAAUGGCAUAUACAAAGAGAAGCGACCUCGCGAGAGCAAGCGGACCUCAUAAAGUAUGUCGUAGUCCGGAUUGGAGUCUGCAACUCGACUCCAUGAAGUCGGAAUCGCUAGUAAUCGUAGAUCAGAAUGCUACGGUGAAUACGUUCCCGGGCCUUGUACACACCGCCCGUCACACCAUGGGAGUGGGUUGCAAAAGAAGUAGGUAGCUUAACCUUCGGGAGGGCGCUUACCACUUUGUGAUUCAUGACUGGGGUGAAGUCGUAACAAGGUAACCGUAGGGGAACCUGCGGUUGGAUCACCUCCUUACCUGAAAGAA